CAGGGACGAGAGAGAGUGUGAGUGGAACUGUGCAAACCACUAGCACUACAAUCAAUUCCUCUGCACAGGUUCUUAGUCCUGAGGUCUCAUCAUCCUGGGCCCCACCCACACAGCUGUGCUCAGGUUGAUUCAAGAUGAAGGGCUCCUGUUUACAGAAGCCUCCGUUUGGAAGUUUACAAACACUGCAGGAAGAGAUGUUUCCUUUUGUCCUGCUGCAGAACUCUAGGAGUGCAGUCCAGUUGGAAACAAUGGAAAACAUUUCACUAAGAGCAGUUAACUUUGUUCACCUGAAACUCAAUAAAUUCCCUUCCAGGUUGCCAAUUGGAGCAUUACUUUUAUCUAGAUUCUAGAGUUGGUAAAAGUUUGGGAGAACUGAAAUCAAUGUUCUGGUGUUGGUUUUUAUCACAUCUGGAAAUAUAAAAUACUCCAUCACCAGUCAGCAUUCUGGGCUGAACCCCCCUGCUUAGUUCAGUGCUCCUCCCACAGAAUAUGCUCAAAAAAUACCACCAAAUGAUUGACCGAAAGAGUUCUGAACUAGAGACUGUGGGGGUUACAAAAGAAUAGUGAGAGACAGUCUCUGUCCUCCAGAAGCUUGCUCUCUCAUUUUAAAAUGGCCAACAAAAAAAAAAGCAAAAAUACAAUGAAAAACACUAAACAGGGAAGAAUGUAAGUAUUGAAAAGAUGCAUAAGAGCACAAAUAACAAACACAGCUACGUAAUUUAAAGAUGUGAAUGUAAAUACUACUAUGUUAAUGAUGUCAUGUUGGGAAUGUAUGGAAUCAUUUUUUCAUC